rnacentral:rRNA from 1 species
AAACAUCUCUUCUUGUUUUUAUUAUUAAGUAUGCCCUGCCCAAUGAAGUUUGAAUGGCCGCAGUAUAUUGACUGUGCAAAGGUAGCAUAAUCAUUAGUUUAUUAAUUGUAGGCUGGUAUGAAUGGGUUCACGAAACAUUGACUGUCUCGUUAUUAUUUUUUGAAUUUGAAUUUUAAGUUAAAAUGCUUAAAUUAUUUUAUGGGACGAGAAGACCCUAUAGAUCUUUAUUAAUUUAUUUGUUAGGUAUUUGGUUUAUUUUAUGCUUAUAUAGUGAAUUGGUUUUGUUGGGGUGACAUUAAGAUACGAUAAACUCUUAAUUAUUAUUUACAUUUAUUUAUGUUAUUUUGAUCUUAAUUAUUGCUUGAAAGACUAGAUACCUUAGGGAUAACAGCGUAAUCUUUUUAGAGAGUUCUUAUCGACAAUAAGGGUUGCGACCUCGAUGUUGGAUUAAGGUGAUUGUUAGGUGUAGUAGCUUAAUAAAUAGGUCUGUUCGACCUUUAAAUUCUUACAUGAUCUGA